AUUGAACGCUGGCGGAAUGCUUUACACAUGCAAGUCGAACGGCAGCACGGACUUCGGUCUGGUGGCGAGUGGCGAACGGGUGAGUAAUGUAUCGGAACGUGCCCAGUCAUGGGGGAUAACGUAGUGAAAAUUACGCUAAUACCGCAUACGAUCUAUGGAUGAAAGCGGGGGAUCGCAAGACCUCGCGCGAUUGGAGCGGCCGAUAUCAGAUUAGGUAGUUGGUGGGGUAAAGGCCCACCAAGCCAACGAUCUGUAGCUGGUCUGAGAGGACGACCAGCCACACUGGAACUGAGACACGGUCCAGACUCCUACGGGAGGCAGCAGUGGGGAAUUUUGGACAAUGGGCGAAAGCCUGAUCCAGCCAUUCCGCGUGCAGGAUGAAGGCCCUCGGGUUGUAAACUGCUUUUGUACAGAACGAAGAGGUUUCUACUAAUACUAGGAGCUCAUGACGGUACUGUAAGAAUAAGCACCGGCUAACUACGUGCCAGCCGCCGCAGUAA
rnacentral:rRNA from 1 species